rnacentral:rRNA from 1 species
UACGUAGGGCGCAAGCGUUGUCCGGAAUUAUUGGGCGUAAAGAGCUCGUAGGCGGCCAGUUGCGUCUGCUGUGAAAUCCCGGGGCUCAACCCCGGGCGUGCAGUGGAUACGGGCUGGCUAGAGGCAGGCAGGGGAGAACGGAAUUCCCGGUGUAGCGGUGAAAUGCGCAGAUAUCGGGAGGAACACCGGUGGCGAAGGCGGUUCUCUGGGCCUAUACUGACGCUGAGGAGCGAAAGCGGUGGGGAGCGA